UUGCAAAAGAAGUAGGUAGCUUAACCUUCGGGAGGGCGCUUACCACUUUGUGAUUCAUGACUGGGGUGAAGUCGUAACAAGGUAACCGUAGGGGAACCUGCGGUUGGAUCACCUCCUUACCUUAAAGAAGC
rnacentral:rRNA from 6 species